GACGGGGGAUGCAAGCGUUAUCCGGAAUCACUGGGCGUAAAGCGUCUGUAGGUGGUGAUGCAAGUCACUGGUGAAAAACUCUGGCUCAACCGGAGGAAAGCCAGUGAAACUGCAUGACUAGAGUGUGGUAGAGGUAGAAGGAAUUCCCUGAGUAGCGGUGAAAUGCGUAGAUACAGGGAAGAACACCGGAGGCGAAAGCGUUCUGCUGGAACACAACUGACACUGAGAGACGAAAGCUAGGGGAGCGAAUGGG
rnacentral:rRNA from 1 species